UUAAGUUCAGCGGGUAUCCCUACCUGAUCCGAGGUCCACCGAGAAAAAUAGUGUGGGGACGACGGGCGCCGGCCAGGCCUCCGGAGCGGGUGACAAAGCCCCAUACGCUCGAAGCACCGGCGCGGCACCGCCACUGCCUUUCGGGUCCGUCCCCCCGCGAGGGAGGGGAGUCGACCCAACCACACAAGCCGGGCUUGAUG
rnacentral:misc_RNA from 1 species